rnacentral:lncRNA from 1 species
UACUCGGUGUACGAUCCAUUAGGUUCCAAUUAGCGAGGUAGUGGGCGAUUGUUACUCUUAACAAUCGAUUGUGAAUUGAAACCACAUUUCAAUUCUCCCCUAAAAUUAGUGUUUGCUAAUCAUUAGGGCUUCCACAAACCAUGAGUGACACCUAGAAGCAUGGUUACCCAAGCUAAGUAGAAGUGGUUGGAGAACCUUUCGAGUUACAAUUACAAUGCAAUACGGUCCUUCUCUAAUACAAUACUCCUAAUCACAUGUUUGUUUCAUGUCUACUAUCCAAUGUGAUACUUCUCUAUAUGAUUCAAUUGAAUAUGAUUUGGAACAAACUUCCAAAGUUAUAUUCAUAUGAUUUGGCCAAAGACUCUCGAAUCAUAUCUUAGAGUAUUCUCCUUCCACCAUGGAAGGUUAGAGGUCCCUUGUUGUACAUUCAUAUGCCUACAUGACUAGAUAGCUUGACCCCAACAAUGCCGUGGACACUCCAAUGGAAUGCCUUUGACAUGAUCAAAGAUCAAGGACCUAACCAUUAGACAUCUACGAUGCCUCAGGUCAAAUGACUACUUUGCAUAUUGCAACUAUCGAGUUCUUACAUGACAU